rnacentral:lncRNA from 1 species
GGGGUCAGCGGGUUACAUCGCCGUCACGCCUUGGCCACAUGCUCCUUCCCCGCUGGGUAUUCCAAUGAGGAAAAUGACAAGUUGGAAAAAAAAAUCUUUACAAAGUUUAAGAGACUCCAUCCGUCUUUGCAAAAGGGAUGGCCUGGCCAGCGAGAGGAAUCCUGUGACCUUGUGAUGUCAGCUGCGCUCAGAAUGCUCGUCUGGACAACCCAAACCAGCCUCUUGGGAGCCGAUGUGCGAUCUCCAUACCCUACGGUAGUCAGAACAUGGACAACUUCUCACUCCUCAGCAUUUCUGGACCUUGAAUCUCCUCCUCAUCCCUGAGCGCUUUUCCUGACAUUAUGUCCUCACGUGCCACCAGCUUGCCAGUAGAUCUGAGGAAAAGUGAUCUGGUUGGCCCAUUUACAGCUAGAAGAUGUCAGUGCUCAGUUCACGACGUCCAAGGUGUCACUGAUUACCUAGUCCUCCCUGAGUGUCCAUUACAGGGAAGGAAUGAAGAUAACAGAAGGUAUAUCACAGGAAGACUGAACUGCAGGGAAAGCUGCAGUGCAAAAACUGCAUUCUAAAGAAGAGUAUCCCAAGCCAGCACAAUGUUAUCCUUGAGUCAGUGCUUUACCUGAAAACCACAUGCCUCUGUGAUAAGACACAAGGUAGAGUUACAUGAAUUGUGUGCUUAGUACCCAUAGCGGUUCCUGUUUGUCAUUAUUUUGUAGGAUUUAUCUGUGCUUGGAUAAGAUUAUAUGUACUUAGAUGUGAAACUGGUAGAGGCUAUGAAGGAAGGCAUGACCAGCAUAUAACUAGAAAAU